GUGGCGGGUGGGUGAACCUGCGGAAGGAUCAUUG
rnacentral:rRNA from 1 species